GAUGAACGCUGGCGGCGUGCUUAACACAUGCAAGUCGAACGAAGCAUUUAGGACAGAUUACUUCGGUUUGAAGUUCUUUAUGACUGAGUGGCGGACGGGUGAGUAACGCGUGGGUAACCUGCCUUGUACUGGGGGAUAGCAGCUGGAAACGGCUGGUAAUACCGCAUAAGCGCACAAUGUUGCAUGACAUGGUGUGAAAAACUCCGGUGGAAUAAGAUGGACCCGCGUCUGAUUAGCUAGUUGGUGAGAUAACAGCCCACCAAGGCGACGAUCAGUAGCCGACCUGAGAGGGUGACCGGCCACAUUGGGACUGAGACACGGCCCAGACUCCUACGGGAGGCAGCAGUGGGGAAUAUUGCACAAUGGAGGAAACUCUGAUGCAGCGACGCCGCGUGAGUGAAGAAGUAAUUCGUUAUGUAAAGCUCUAUCAGCAGGGAAGAUAGUGACGGUACCUGACUAAGAAGCUCCGGCUAAAUACGUG
rnacentral:rRNA from 1 species